rnacentral:rRNA from 1 species
AUUGAACGCUGGCGGCAUGCCUAACACAUGCAAGUCGAACGGCAGCACAGUGUGUAGCAAUACACAUGGGUGGCGAGUGGCGCACGGGUGAGUAACACGUAGGAAUCUACCCAGUAGCGGGGGAUAACCCGGGGAAACUCGGGCUAAUACCGCAUACGCCCUUAGGGGGAAAGCGGGGGACCGUAAGGCCUCGCACUAUUGGAUGAGCCUGCGUCCGAUUAGCUAGUUGGUAGGGUAAAGGCCUACCAAGGGGACGAUCGGUAGCUGGGCUGGGGGGACGGCCAGCCACACUGGGACUGGGACACGGCCCAGACUCCUACGGGAGGCAGCAGUGGGGAAUAUUGGACAAUGGGGGAAACCCUGAUCCAGCGAUGCCGCGUGGGUGAAGAAGGCCUGCGGGUUGUAAAGCCCUUUUAGUAGGGACGAAAUGCUCCGGCCUAAUACGUCGGGGAGUUGACUUAACUUACAGAAAAAGCACCGGCUAACUCCGUGCCAGCAGCCGCCGCCGUAAGAC